UUAGUUCAGUGGUAGAACAUCUGCUUUGCAUGCAGAAGGUCCCAGGAUCCCAGUAUCUCCAGGUAA